rnacentral:lncRNA from 1 species
GCAUGUCUUUUGCAAAUUGGCUGCAAAAUUGGUGUUUAUGUUGGUGUCAUUGAAGAUCCUGCUUCUAAAGUUAGUACAUCUUGAAAAUCCAAUUGUGUGACCACCAGAUAGAACAACUAAGUCUUUAAGGUUUAGUCCUUGAGACUGAAAAUUUGCGAUGAGUUGUGAGAAGUUAAAAAAUGCCGGUGGAAGAUUUAUAUUUGCUGCAUCUCUGCUUGCAAAUCUUGAAUCUCUUCUGCCCAGUAACACUUGGUACCAAUAUUUGUGACCGCCCAACUGUUAAUUGAUGCAAAAUUUGUUAGUUGUCAGUGUUAUAGAACAACUAAGUCUUUAAAAUUAGAAAUAUAUCUCUAAUUUUGUCGAUAAAUUUUAUAACGAGCAAAACAAAAGACUAAUUUCAGUUGGUCAUUAGAUUUCUUCUAUACAAUUUAAGGAAUUAUAGUCUUGCAACCAUAACUACACUUCUCUCGAAGUUUUUGCAAUAUCAAGAAUUGCGACAUAAGGAUGACAAUAACUAUAAACCUAAUUAUUAAGAACUACAAGCAUGAUUUUAAAUGCCGGUUUAGUUGUUGCGAUUAGGGUGUAAACUUUUAUAUUGUGAUAAAGUGCGGUCAAAAUUAUAGUUGCAACAUAUUGGAAAUACUUACUAUGGCAACAGAAUCUCGAGCUGCUAUAGCUAAGAUAUCUGCACAUGAUAUGAUCGGACGUUUACAAGCUUUGUCAACUGCGGCUUUAAUUUGAUCAACAACCUCAAAACCUCUAAGUGAAUUGAUAUUUGGAAUUGCAGUCUUCUCACCAAUGAAGGUAGGGGUGUCAUCUAGUAGAAUUGAUCCAUCACAACCCUAUGUAGUUUCAUAUAGUUCAGGUAUUAGUUAUACUAUAAUGGAAAUUAUUCAUAUGUAAAUGUGACAUGAAUAUGAUUCAACUAUAAUUGAACUCAAAAUAAGUUUGAAAUUAAUAUAGAAAUACAAAUUUUGAAUAAAAAGGAACAAUAUUUAGCAUGAGUACUACAUGAAAUCCACUUGUAAGGGCUAGAAGUGCAAAAAUCAGAAACCUAAUUUAUUUUUCCGGCGACAAUUCAACUUUCUUUUCAAUAAUAUGCGUUGUCAAAAUUGUGAUGCACAAAAACAAGAGAACAAUGAAUCUGUCUGUGUCACGCGUGUAAUUUGGUUGAUGAACUAAGAAAUGUGAAGGACAAAGUUCAAACACCGAAAAUUAACAUAAACAUCAACUUACUAACAUUUUUAGCUAUAAAAAAUGUACAUGGAUUCUAUUUAAUGAUACUAGAAAAUGUAUCGCGAAUUUAUGCAAUUAACUCACGUUAACAAAGCAGUCAUGGAAAUGCAAACGUAGCAACGAUGCUCCCAUGCGUGGCUCACGAAUAAUUGCUUGCUUAACAACCGACUUUAUGAUUGGCAAUGCCUGUGGGCAAAUUUCGUCAUAAUAAUUAGAAGACAGUUUUGCAAUGGUAGGACUCAAAAUUGUUGCAAAAGUGACCACAAAAAACACAAUUUGGAUACGAGAAUUCAUUUUACUAUAUGCUUGUAUGAGACUUUGAUUUGAGCUAAGAUUUUGUUUUUGUGAGUAUCUAGCUAUAGAGGGGUGGUUUAUAUAUAGAAUCAAAAUUGAUCAACUUUUAUUUUUUUAUGAAUGAAAAUAUAGCAACUAGGCCAUAGUUAUUUACUACUUGUUAGAGUUAUCAACCUAUAUUUUAAAAAAAGAGUUAUCAACCUAUAUGAUAUUUCAAGUCAUGAUACCGUUGACCCAAAAACUUCUAUAAGAAUUGCUCAAACAUUAUUGCAACCUUUCAGAAAUUGAUAUACAUCAAUGAUACAUGCUGUUUUUAUAAAAUUUUAAUUAUCUUGCAACCUUUAAUUUUGACGAUAGCAAAAACCUCAUGAGAGAGAAUUUUUUUAAUUAUUUGAUUAUAAAAAGAAUGUUAAGAUGGUGAAUAUAAUAAUUUAAAUUUAUGAAUGAAUGAUAAAAUUGUAAGAAAAAACUACACAAAAUAUAAUAUUCUUUUUAUACUAAUAUAUAGGUGUAGAUUACGACUUGAAUAUUCUGAAGAUGUAAUCAAAUCUAGUAGCGUGGAAAACACCUCUAUUUUUACAAGAACAUAUGAAAAGAACCUUGAUACAAAUAAAUUCUUCAACAAAAAUAAAAAGAAUUAAACUACUUCUAGACCAUCUAUCAGGCAUUAACAUGCUUGUCAAAAACAAAAUUCAGGCAUUAACACGCAUAAUUUUAAUUUAGAUAAGAAAAAACUUCACAAAGGUUAUGUAUUAUUCUUUUAUGAUAUAUUGAUUUGAAAAAGAAUGAAAGUGACAUCUCAAAAAAGAAGAAUGAAAGGGACAUCUAAACUUGUGUGUAGGGGUGUUUAGGAUGCUGUUUGAAUCACUUUUGAAUUAAAAAAAUAAUCAAAUUCAAAAUAAAAAUCAAACAUGACAAUUGGUUUGGACGACACUAUUGAAAAACUGAUAUGAUCCGAUCCAAUUAAAUGCGGUUUUAUUUAUAUAUAAAAAACGCAAUUGUAGCAAUUGUAAGUUUUUUUAUUAAUAUUACACAAACACGAUAAAAUAAUAGAUUUGAUAGAAAAUAUAAAUUAAAAUAUAUUAAAAAUUAAUUUUACGGAAUGAAAAAGAUCGAUUAUGUUUGAAACAUAUGAAAUUAUAAAAUAUAGUUUAAAUUAAAUUAAUAAGUAUUUUUUUUAAAAUUUUAAACCAACAAACAAUAGAUUAGUGCAAUAUAUUCUACUAAUAAAACAUAAAUAAGUAUUAAAAUUUACUUAUGCGGUUUGAUUUAGUUUUAAAAAAAAGGCUUAAUUGCCUUUUUGGUGGUUUGUUCUUAUUGUUACUUUUUUCCCCCAAAAAUUAGGGUUCCAUCUUCACCUUCCUCCAAUUCAAAAUCCUUCUUCAUCUUCAUCUUCCUUUAAUUCGAAUUUCUUCUUGUUCAUUUUCGUCACUUGACCAUGUCCAGUGCAGGAUCUCGAUUUAACAGAAGAAACAACAACGAAGGUGGAAGGGCCAUGUCCGGAUCUGUAAGUUCUGGGUUUAGGAGACAAAUUCGAAAAUGUCAGUGUGGUGAGUUUGUAGUUCUGAAGACUGUUACUGAAAUUACAAACCCUAACUGUGGGAAGAAGUUUUGGGGUUGUAGGAAUUGGAGGAACCGAAAUGAUAGUGGUUGUAACUAUUUUCAAUUUGUUGUUGAUGAUGAUGAUAAAUGUGAUGAUGUUGAUGAACUUGAUAUGAAGAUUGCAAGGCAAAAGAAGAAAAAUGAAAAGUUGAAGCAUGAAGUUUCUUUCCUAAAGGAAGAGUUAUGUAAUAGUAGGAGGUGUUGCAAGAUUGCCAUCUAUGCACACACUUAACAGAAUUUGAUUUAAUUUAACAGAAAUGACAAAAUAUGGUAACAGUGAUAAAGUUAGAGGACCAAAAUAAAUCAUUUUUUAGUUAGAGGACUAAACCGUUACCAAUUAAAUAGUUAGGAGACCAAAAAGGUAAUUAAACCUAAAAAAAAAUGAUCCAAAAUCUAAUAAAAUUCUAACAGUUUUCAGAAAACAACGUUGAAAUGCAUCCAUUGUUUGUGUUUGUGUUUUUUGUUUUUAUCCAUUUUCGAUUUUAUUUUUGAUCAGUUUGAAUUUGAAUGCAUCUAUGCAAUGAUGUUAUUCAAUUCCAUCUAGUAUUGGUUAACAAUAUAUACAACCGCAAACUGUUGUAACAUCUCGAGAGGAUCCAAACACCUUAUAUGUAUGCAUUUCAUACAUUCUUAUAUAAUAUUAUCACUAAAAUACACUGAGAAAUACCAUAGCACAUGAAGGAUUCAUGUGACUAAAUAUUAACCAUGUUUAUUUGCUUAGGUUAUUUUAGUUUCUAACUAGUUUCUAACUUGUAAGUGAAAUCAAGAUUUGUCAGUGCAGGCAGUAAGAUCGAAAUAUAAAUGUGGAGAUGACCUAACCCUGAGAGCCUUAAAUGUCUCAUUCGGAAGAUAGCUACUUGUUGUAUUUUAACCAAUGAAGACAUAUAUUCUUGUGUAAGUCUUAUCUCACAUAUAUGUUGAUUAGACCCGUGCACAAACCAAAACCUAAUUCAUUCAAUACACAUCAAAAUAUUAAUAAGCAUGUUUUACAUAUACCAAAGUGCUGAAAUAGAGCUAAUUAUCAAAAUCAUAUGGAAGAGUAGAAAGAUAUUUGAUGAGUAAAACUGCAAGUGUACGGUUCUACCGAAGUAGUAAAAAGAGAGUAUCGUUUCAACAAGGAGUUGUUCAACUUAAUUAACUUUUAGAAGAUGAUUAGAAGAAAGUUCAGUUGUAAAGAUUGAAUUUUUAACGGUUUAAAAGAAUAAUAAUAAAAAGCGCAUUGAGAUUAUUGGUUCAUCAUAAUAACAAAUCUUCACAAACAAACCCUAAACCUAAACUUUAUAUUCGAACUACUUUCUAAAGACAAGUUUCUCUUAAGCGUAUCAAAGCUUCUUUCGAAGUCACUGAGUGUGUUCCUCUAGCAACCACGUCUAUUCUCAUGGUUGGUUGCUAUUAGAAUCCUUGAAGAACGAAACUUUAUAUGUCUCAAGGUUUGCUUGACUAUUCUCAUGUUUCGCAACCCUUGUCUAAUUUCACUUGUUCCAAUAUCAAAACUCCACUGUCGCAUGAUGAAUUAACAAAUACGAACCCUCCGUUGUCGCAUUAUGAGUUUGGCAUUUGUUAAUUCAUCAUCAAAACGGUGAAAUUAGAUUAGAAAGUAGAUUUAUAUAAAAUUAGGGUUUAUGGCUUGGUUUGAUUAGGAUUAUGUCAUUAGACUUAUUCAACAAUCCCAAGACAAGAAGAGUCUACUCACUCAUGUUCAUCGUAGACAUAGAAGAGAAGAAGAAGAAGAACAUAAAGUAAAUAACAAGAAAAUAAAGAAAGAACUUUUUAUUAAGAAAGACAAUUGUCACUAUUGAAUUCCAAGAACAAAAGAUGAAUUGUUGUGCUAGCUAACUACUCUAUUUAUAGUUUACAAUGACUUAAGCCCUAAGAAAUAUAAAACUAGAAUGUUUCACAAGAAACCACAGGCUUGUAGGUCAGAAGUAAACUAAUAGGUAGCUUGCCCAGGAAGUAAAAAGCAGCAAAAGUGAUCCUGAAGGCUGGCACGACCAUGUGGCUGUUGGCACGGGUCGUUCCAAGUCUCUGACUUGGGGGAUGUUAUAUUUUUGCACCGAAUCUUCGUAUUUUCAUCCCGAAUCAGCUCCAAAUCCCUUUCUUUUGCUCCAAAACUCAAUCUUUAGAAUAUUUAUUCCUGAAAUUAAAUAACUUGCAAUUGAAGUAAAAUAAUUUUAAAAAGGAAAUAAACUUAAAUAAAAUAAACUCAAAUAUAAAUAAAACAGACUCAAAUAUUAUAUUAAAAACACUAAUUAUUGACUCAUCAAUAUUCUAGAAUGCAAAUCAACCAUGAAGUCAUCUACUUUCGCCCCUUAACAGUACACACAUCAUCGUUUCCUCCCUCAUUAUAGGAGAAUGUACAACUAUAAAAUUCUUAUUAUUGCCGGUGUAAAAGUUUGAUUUUCCAUAAACAAAGGAAUGAUGUUAAAACAGAAAGGGAAGUUCUAAUGAGUGCCUCUAGCGCACUUUGUAAGAACUUUAAAUAGUACUCCAUCCAUUUCUAAAUAUAAGCAAAAUUCAUUUUUUAGGUUCAUUCAUUUAAUGAUGUAUGUUGUUCAUAAUAUGGACUACAUAUAUCAUUAAAUGAAUGAACCUAAAAAGCCAAUUUUGCUUAUAUUUAAAAACAGAGGGAGUAAUUUGUUAAGAAAGUUUAUGUAUUUAAUACAUUGAAAAUUGAAGUAUUUGAUUUUUUUAAUAAAUAAUUCUUUAAUGUGAAAUCUUUAAAGAGCUUCCCAAUAACACAUGUUAACAAGACCCAUAAAGAAAUUGUUGGCCUCUAAUUUGUAUAAAUGAAGAAAGUGCUUCCUUUUUUUUUUCUUAUGAAGAAAUCAAAAUGAAAUAUAAUAUAAACGACAACCAAUCUUCACGGCAUAAGGUGUACCAUUGAAGACCGCCCAAAAGUUACAAACAAGUUCAAACAAAGCAAUCAAAAAUCAACCAAUGCCCGCACAAAGGAACGGGGCCUGGCACCAAUCAUGAAAACAAUAAGGAAAUACAGUAAAUUUAGCCUUAAACCACCAAAAAGAGAGAAGUUUAAUAGCCUCCAACAUUUGAAAAUGACAACGUUCUUGACCACGAAAAAUCCUGUCAUUCCUUUCUUUCCAUAAUUCCCACACAGGUGCAAACCAAAUCAAAUACAUAAGUGAGCAUCUUGAUUUUCCGUAACCUGAAUAAGAUGCUUGGAAGCUUUUCUUAAAUAAGAUCAUUGCAGAAGGAGCAUUAAUGCUUUGAGAUCCUUGUGUGAACGGAAUGGUUGAGAAGGUUAUGGCGUAAAGAAGCGUAUUGAUAGGAAAGGGAGGUUCAGGUGAAAGGCUAUACUUGCUAACUAACGUCGUGAAUAUUAGUGCAACAAUUGUUUCUUGCAAAUUAAGUAAUCAAAAUAAUGGUUGAAUUUAGAGAGAGAAGAAUAGAGAAGGAGAAAGUGGUGAUGGAGAGAACAAAGUAUUAAGAGUUUGUUAUUUCAUUGAUUAAUGAAAAUAGAUGAUUAACAACUAUUUAUAUACACAUAACUUGUAGUGCAAGUCAUUUAGUAAAUAACUAACAAACUUUUAAAGUAAAGCUAAUUAUUUAAACUAACUUCACUAAUGAUUAUGGAUUAAUCAUCUAAAUUAAAAGUGAAAAUGUAAGGGAGGUUGUUGUUUUUUUAAAACUAGAGGAGGUUGUUAGUGUUGUUUAAAUAAAACCGAGAGAAUAUUGUGAGUGCAAUUAUCCGUAUACUGAGGGUAGUUUUCACAUCUCUUUUCUUUAUAGGAAUUUACACUCACAUAAAGAGUGUCUUUUCUCUAUUAUGAGAUAAUUAGAGUGUAUUUUUUUUGCUCGUUACAAAAUAUUUAUACAUAUUACAUGUAUCUCUAAAAAAAAAAAAUACAUAUUAUAGUAAAUCUAAAACUUGGAAGCAAGCAAUACUAAUUAAUUUUUAUUUGAGUGGGACAAAAAGCAUGCAAAUUUUAAUACGUAUAAACAUUUAGCAAUAAUCACAAUCCAAAUAGUCACACAAAUAAAACUUAAUACUUUUGAAAUGAAACAUAAUAAUAAAUCUCACAUUUAACAGACUCCUUGACAAUUCAAGAUUCUGUUUUGAACCUAGAAUUCUUAUUCUCAACAAUCAACAUAUUUUGAUAAUUUAUAGAAAAUAUAAAAAAAUUCCCUCAACUUUAUAUUAAACAAUUAAUCAAUCAUUAUCCUUCUUCAUUCAUAUCUGGUUAACUUUUCUGCAAUUGCACCUGAUCUCACCCUUUUUACCAGUAAGAGGCUUCAAGUUACCCAUCUUAAUCAUAGAAACUCCAAAAUCAUAAGCAAAAGCAUAAGAAUUUUUACUAUAAAGUUGAACCAAUCUAUCACUUUGAGAACCAUCACCUUUAAAAAGCUCUUGAUCAGAAUGAAGAAGACCCCUUUUAUACAACAAAGCCUUAUAAUAUGAUGUGUCAACUUUGUUAGGUGUAGAAUCAAAUGGUGCUAAAUUAUCGUCGCCGCCGAUUUUAGGGCAUGUCUUUUGCAAAUUGGCAGCAAAAUUGGUGUCUAUGUUGGUGUCAUUGAAGAUCCUGUCUCUAAAGUUAGUGCAUUUGGAAAAUCCAAUUGUGUGGCCACCAGAUAGAACAACUAAGUCUUUAAGGUUAAGUCCAUGAGACUUGAAAUUUGUGAUGAGUUGUGAGAAAUUGAAAAAUGGAGGAGGAAGAUUUGUAUUUGCUGCAUCCCUGCUUGCAAAUCUUGAAUCUCUUCUUCCUAGUAACACUUGGUACCAAUAUUGCUUACCACCCAGCUGUUAAAUGAUGAAAGCAAAAUUUCUUAGUUGCUAGGGUUAUAUAUACUACUCCAAAUUCACCAAUAAAAAAAAUAUACUACUCGAAAUUUCAGUUUUGAUCCGGUUAAAUGCAGUCUAUGUAUUCAAAAUUGCGGUUAUAUAUAGACCUCAAAAUCUUUUAUAUUUUCUGAAACAACUGUGGUUACACAAAUUAAAACCUUGUUUAGAAGUGAAAAAUAUUUGAAAGACUUACAAUGGCAACAGAGUCUCGAGCAGCUAUAGCUAAAAUAUCGGCGCAUGAUACGACAUCGCGUUUGCAAGCUUUGGUAACUGCUUCUUUAAUUUGAUCAACAACCUCAAAACCUCUAAUUGAAUUGAUAUUUGGAAAUGCAGUCUUCUCACCAAUGAAGGUAGGGGUAUCAUCUAGCAGAACCGAUCCAUCACAACCCUAUAAUGGAAAUUGUUCAUAUGUAUUUGUGACAUGAAUAUGAUGCACUUAUAAUUUAACUCAUAAUAAGUUUGAAAUUAAUAUAGAAAUAUAAAUUUUGAAUAAAGAAGGAUCUAUAUUUUAGCAUGUUACAAAAUUAUCGCUUUUUAAUUAUUGUUGUAUUUUUCCUUCAAAAAAUUAUUGUUGUAUUUUUACAUCUAAUUCUAUAGAGAGUAUACAAAAAAGUUUAAGUCUCUUGCAUGAGUACAACAUGAACCCAACUACUUUUCUUGCAAACUUGCACCAUUGAUACCUAAUUGUUUGACAUGAUUAUUAGAUAUAAAAACAUCAAUAGAAGAGUAAAAUAUCCACUAUUCAUAUUAGAUAUUGCCUUGCUCAAAUAUAUAGUUAUACUACUACAAAAAUAAUGAAUUAAUUUAUGUUCCUUUAGAAACUAAUUUUAUUUUUCCUUCAACAAUUUAACUUUUAUUUUUUCAUAUACGUUGUUUGAAUAAUAAUGUGUAAAAGAAAUGCAUGUAGCUUGGUUGGGGGACUAAGAAAUAUCAAAAAAUAAAGUUUAAACACUCAAAACUAACAUAAACAAUAAUUUACAAACAUUUUUAUUUAGAGAAUGUACAUUAUAUUGACUUUACUUAAUGAUUCUAGAAAUAGCAUCAUAAAUUUAUGAAAUUAACAAACUUACGUUAACAAAGCAGUCAUGGAAAUGCAAACGUAGCAAUGAUGCUCCCAUGCGUGGCUCACGAAUAAUUGCUUGCUUAACAAUUGAAUUUAUGAUUGGCAAUGCCUUGGGACAAAUUCUGUCAUAAUAAUUUGGAGUCAGUUUUGCAAUGGUAGGGCUCAAAAUUGUUGCAAAAGUGACCACAAAUAGCACGAAUUGGAUACGAGAAUCCAUUUUACUCUAUGCUUGUGUAUAUGAGACUAUAAUUUGAGCAAAGAUUUUGUUUUUGUGAGUAUCUAGCUAUAGAGGGAUGAUUUAUAUAGAAUGGAAAUGUAGCAACUUUUAUUUUUUGAUGAAUGAAAAUAUAGCAACUGGGCUAUAGUUAUUUACUUGUUAGAGUUGUCAACUUAUAUAAUAUUUCAAGUCAUAAUGUACCUACUACUUAUAUGUGCUCGCCUGCUUGGUAUUGACCUAAAAAAUUCUAUAAAAAUUGCUUAAGAAUGCAAGUAUACAACCUUUAAUUUAUCCACCUUUACCAUUGGUUAUAGAAAUGAUAUGCAUGUUGCUUUUAUUAUACCUGUUUAAAGUUUUUAAGGCCGAAAUGAAUAUUAAUAUAUGAUGAUGAUGAUGAUAUUUGGUAAGUUGGUGCACCCUCGUAUAACUGGAUAAUGAGGGUAAAAUUUGAUAUUUUAUUAAUUAUUUUUGACAUAAAAGAAUUAAAUGAAAAAUUUAUUUUUUGUAUAUAUAAGAAGAGUUACAUACCUUAAGAUCUAGCUGGCUAAAGAUAUUAAUUAGGGCCGAUUCAAUGGUUAAACAACCUAUCCUAGGAUUUUAGGCCUCAAAAUUUUGGAUAAAAAAAGACCUAAAAAACUUCAAUUUAGUUAUAAAUAUAUAAUAUGACAAAAUUAUUAUAGAUGUUUGCCUGGCUUUAAUUCAUCAAGAAGAGGCCUCAAAUACUCUUGAUGUUUGGUUCAAACCCUGGGUUUAGCAAAUUUAAUUUUUAUUUUAUUUUAAAAGACCUCACUAAAAUAUUUGCUUUAAGCCUCUUAAAUUUUUGGGUUGUCAUUGAUAUUAAUCUUUGCAAGGGCACGUUAAUAUAACCAAUGCUAAUUAAUUUCUUUCACCUCUGUCAAUAUUUUUUAACUCAUUCACUUUGUCAAUAUUAUUAUUUUUUUACUUUGACUCAUUCACCUCUAUAGUAUAGUUUUUUUUUUUUAACUAAAUGUUCUAAAGAAUUAGAUGACCCAAAGUGUCCUUAGAGAUAUGCCUAUGAGGGUGUAACUAAUAUAAGAACUAGACUAAUACGCGUAAUCCAGUAACAUGAAAAGAUCCUUCAUAAACAAAAAUUACUUCUACACAAAGCGUAUAUAUACAUAAAUAAAUACAUACAUAAAUACAUUUAUUUAUUUAUUUUAUAUUGAGUUGAAGAAAAAAUGAAAGGGACUUCUAAACUUGCAAGUAGUAGUAGUACACACAAAAAAAAUAAAAAUUGCAAGUAGUUGUUUGUUAAACAAGUAGUGAAGCGAAUGUGCACCCGACUCCUUAACAGAUGUGAUGAUGUUACUCAAUCGUUAUAGUUUUAUUAGUUAAAAACUAUAUGCAACUGUAAAUUUAUUGUCUGAAAUGAUUGCUCCCUACCAGUUUUACGAAUUAAGAGUCAUGCAUGAUAUGUGAGAAUGAAUAUUAUAUAUGUUAGAAAUACAAAAUAAAAGUAAAUUCCAUCUGCUAUUAUACUUAUAUAUUAUAAAUCUAUUAUCUAUCAAAUAACUGAGUUUUUUUUUUUAAUUUAUUUAUUUAUUUUAAAUUUUAAAUAAUCACGUGCAAUUUUAUAACAUUUCAUUAUCUUAUAGGAAAAUUAUAAAUUUCAUUAGUUACCACUUUAAAUUUGGACGAUGAGCAUCAUCAACAUUAAUUAUUUGUUUAGUAUCUCAUUUGUAUUUAUCUAUUCGUUUUUAUUUCUUCUUUUGAUUUCUUUCUUCUUUUUGUAAACAUACCUAAAAAUUAAAAUACUCAAGAGAACGUACAUGAACCUUGCUACCAGGGUGUUCAUAUCUAAAACAAUUCAAAUUAAAACUGCAAACUAAUAUAAAAAGACUAAAAACUUUACAAAAUUGAAUAUUAUUAGAUUAUUUGGAUGUCCUUUUUUUUUUUUUUUGUGGUGGUUGGGGUUUGAACCCUAUACCUUUAUAUAUUAUGCAUUGUCCCUACCAACUGAGAUAAACACAUUUUGUUGGGUUUGCAAGUUUUCUUGAAAACUAGUUUUUUCAAGCUCUUUUUUUCUUGGAUAUUUUACAAAAUUAUAUAAGCUUUGUUAGUUUAGCUGAUAUGUUAUAUAGUAUUCAGAAAGGAAAUUAACUUGGGCCUUUUUGUAUAUCAUGUAAUUUCCUAAGUGGUAGCCAAAGAUAGUAUUGCUUUCUAGUUACUUUGAAUUAAUUCAUAUUAGCGCAUGAAGAAUUCAGGGAUGUUAGUUAGACCAUGGAUUCUAAGAAAAAAUUCAUUUUAAAGAGGGUAGAAUGCAAUAUCCCAAAACAUCGAGUACUCGAGAAAUUCUGAUAGAACAAAAAGGACUUUAUCAUUGUUAGUCUUUUGACAUGAGAUGAAGAAAUCCAUUUUUAAAAUCAGACAACAACUACCAUUACAUAAUCUUGUUGACCUCGAGUUUAAGGUAACCCAGAGAUACAUGCUGACAUAUUGUCAAGGCGCUUAUAGGAUUAGAAGUGGCAUAUAUGUCAACAUUGACUUUAUCUUUGGGUUACCUUAGACAAGGCCAAAAUCCAAAACACCAAGUUGUAUUUUGGUCUUGACUAAGUCACUGAUUUUUCAUCUUUGAAUACGUCUAUUGAUAUCUCUUUCAAGUUUCGACAAAUAGAAAUUUUCUUUCACCGAAGACAUGAUUUUAUCUCGUCCAAGAUGACCUGCUAAUCGUCCAUCGUGGUCUUCCCAUUUUUUUUUUUGAAGAAACAAAAAUGAUAUAUAUUCACACCAAACCAAGGCGCCUCUUUAGCACAAGGCGUGCUAGAGAGAGCGCUAAAAAAACAACUAGUCUGACAUCCAAAACAACAAAACAGGAACUAGCGAAUACCCAAGCAAAACAAUGGGUCUGACCGCCACUGCUGACAACCAAAAAUAAAAGCGGCAUUAUUAGCACGCAACCACCAAUAGGAGUGGAAUUUAACCUUCUCAACAAUCUCCGAAAUAGGAGUAAAAAAGUUAUUGAAAAUUCUAUUAUUAUGUUCCUUCCAGAUAAGCCAAACACAGAGAAGCCAAAUGAGCUGGAGAAAAGAUCGCAUAGUCUUCUUGCCUCCUAAAGAAUAUGUAAAUAGAAGAAAAUGAGCACCGAGAUUGUGAUGAUGAACACCUGAAAAACCAAGCCAAGCCCGAACUUGCUACCAAAUAGAACCAAAAGUAACACAAUGCAAGAACAGAUGAUGUGCGGUUUCAGCAAGACCGCAACCUGCCACGCAAUAGGUUGCCUCGUCAGGAAUGAUACCACGGUUGUGUAAAUUAUUUUUUGUUGGCAACCUGUCUCGAAGCAAACGCCAUGCUAAAAUAAACACCUUCAAUGGCACCUGAGAAUGCCAAAAUGGCUUCGUGUAGCGAACCUUAAGGAAUACAUAAGCCUUUUCCUGUGAGCAAAAAUCUCUCAUGUCUGUACUUGAAAGGAUUACAAUUCAAAAAUCUCACAAUUUUAAUAUGAUGGUCCUUAUUCUUAAACAAAGGUCUGAUAAAGUUGAUCAAUUUUUAGGCCAUUACCUUUGACCAACUACAAGUUUAAAAUGAUUCGUAAAAUUCUAGCAGAUAUAUUUUCUUUGAUUUCUCCUGAAAUCUUCUCUGAUCACCAAAGAGGUUUUAUUAGAGAUAUGCCUAUUUCAAAUCAUGCAAGUAUACACCAUUUGAAGUAAAAUCUAUAAAUAAAGAUCGUCCUGAUAAGGAGCACUGACGAAUUCAGAAAUGUUGGCUUGCGGGGGCAGAAUUUUAUAUGAUAAAAUAUUUAUAGAAAAUUUUAGCAAUGCAAAAGUGAUAUAAGAAUAACAUCAUUAUCAUUGAGAAAAAUACUUGAGAUUAUAAACAUUAUACUAUUAUAUAUUAGAAAAAUUCAAGACUCAUCAACAUUUACAAAAAUUGUUCUUUACGUAUCUUUAUGUUUAAAAAAUAUGGUAGAAAUUAUUUAAAAUUUCAUCUCAAAUACAUUUAUACAUUUGAUUUUAUAAAAUUCAUAAGCGAAUUUUUUUUUUUUUAUGGUAUAAAUUUUCAUUUAAUGGAGACAAUCUAUUAUUUUAAGAGGGGACAAUCAUUAAAAUCUCAAACAUUUAACAAAUAUAACCGAAAUAGUAGUGGAGACCGUUGCCGCAAACUGCUCUACCUAGAUCCGUGGCUGAUGAGGAGAAUGAUUGUGUUCUAAACUUGAACACUUUUGUAAGUAAAUAAACUUUUUUUUUUGUGUAAAAACAAAAAGAUAAACAUUUUCGAUUGACAAUUAAAAUUGAAUUUGGGUUUUACUUUUUGGUGUUAACCUUCAUGUUUUAAGGGGAAAUAGAUUAUGGUAAUCUGGAGUUUGAGGUAAGUAAAUUUUUGCCAAUUAUUGUUUUAUCUGGUGAUCGAACAUAGGUUCUCCUGAAUAAUUAGUCGUUGAUAGAAUGUUUGUCGUCGUUGAUGGAACUCAUUAUCUACAUGAGCUCAAUUGAUUGAUAUUUUGAAUUUGGGGUUUAGAAUGCAUGUUAAUUUAAAUGAGAAGAAGUUGAUCUAUGAUUCAGUUGAUGAAAAGUAGUUAAGAAAGACUACAAAUUUUUCGUCUCAUUUUUUCUUUUUAUAAAAACUUACAAAAAUCAAUACUUUUAUAAAUUAUAAAUAUCACCUUUCUAAAAAAAUUAGUCACAUAAAAUUUAAGACUUACAAUGAAAACAAUAAAUUGAAAAUCACGUUUAACAGACUCCUUAACAAUUCAUGGUUCUGUUUUGAACCUAGAAUUAUUAUUCUCAACAAUCAAAAUAUUUGAAUAAUUUAUAGAGCAUAAAAAAAUUGGCACAACUUUAUAUUAAACAAUUAAUCAAUCUUUAUCUUUCUUCAUUCUGCUGUAGUCCAUCCAUCAUUAUAAUAUUCAGUUCUGAUUAACUUUUCUGCAAUUGCACCUUAUCUCACCCUUUUUCCCGGUAAGAGGCUUCAAGUUACCCAUCUUAAUCAUAGAAACUCCAAAAUCAUAUGCAAAAGCAUAAGAAUUUUUACUAUAAAGUUGAACCAAUCUAUCACUUUGAGAACCAUCACCUUUGAAAAGCUCUUGAUCAGAAUGAAGGAGACCUUGUUUAUUCAACAAAGCCUUAUAGUAUUUUGUGUCAACUCUUGAAGGAGUAGAAUCAAAUGGUGCUAGAUUGUCAUCGCCGCCGAUUUUAGGGCAUGUCUUUUGCAAAUUGGCAGCAAAGUUGGUGUCUAGGUUGGUGUCAUUGUAGAUCCUAUUUCUAAAGUUAGUGCAUUUGGAAAAUCCAAUUGUGUGACCACCAGAUAGAACAACUAAAUCUUUAAGGUUUAGUCCAUGUGACUUGAAAUUUGUGAUGAGUUGUGAGAAGUUAAAGAAUGGAGGAGGAAGAUUUGUAUUUGCUGCAUCCCUGCUUGCAAAUCUUGAAUCUCUUCUUCCUAGUAACACUUGGUACCAAUAUUGCUUACCACCCAACUGUUAAUUGAAGCAAAAUUUGUUAGUUGUCAAUCUUAUAUAUACUAGCUAGAAAAAGUUGAAUGAGUGAACAAAAAAUUAAAAAACCAAAAAAUAUUAAAGAAAAUGCCAACGAGUGUCCUUCAAUAUUUAGUGUUUGAUUUAAACAUGGUUUUAAAUUAGAGUUUCGGUUGCGGUAAUGCUAUAAACUUGUAUUGUAGAAAAAUUUAGCAACAUAGAAGACUAUUAUUUUUUUUUAUUUUUUAUAUUGCAGUCGCAAUUAGGGUUAGUGCAAUUUAAAACCAUGAUUAAAAAGUGCAAAAUAUUGGAAAGACUUACA